rnacentral:tRNA from 1 species
AGAAAAUAGUAUAGUGGGAGUACGGGGGGUUUUGAGCCCUCUGGUGCAGGUUCGUGUCCUGUUUUUCUA